rnacentral:tRNA from 1 species
AAGACCAUAGCAGAGUGGUGAUGUGCGCAAUUGAUGAAGCUGGUGACCCGGGUUCGAAUCCCGUGGUCAUC